GAAGGAGGAUUAUUUUUGCCCUUUCCUCUGCGAAAUUACCAAUUUGCCCCUCUCCCAAAUCUGAUAUAUUCUCCUCUGCUCCUCCAAUUUUUCCAGACUCGCGACUGAGAGAGAGAGAGAGAGAGAGAAGCUCUAAUGCUCGGUUCUUCUGCUUCAUCUUCUCCUUCAUCCUUCCGAUUACAACUUCGCCGGCGUGUGUAUGUUUGUCGCUGUUCCGUCCGGUAUUGAUCCAGCAACUCGUGGCUUCUGUUCCUUUCUUCUCCUCUGUUCCAGCUCGCCGAAGCUCGUUCUUCUGCGCUGUCGGUGACUGUAUGGAUGAGUGCUCGGUUUUUCUUCCUUUCCCUGUUCGUGCGUUUGGGUUUAUAUGAGGUGAGGAGCUUUGAUUUCUUUUCUUUUCCUUGGAUAAAUUCUGUGCGUGUGACUGGGUGAAGUGAUAGAGAUGAAAUUUCAAAUUUUUCUUUUGGUUCUGCCUUCGUCCGUGCUGUGUAGAAAAAAGAAAUGAAAAUGAAAAUGAAAAGUUGAGUUCGAAAAAUAUCUUAUAGGGUCAUGAUGGUAUGUGGGUCUGAAUUUUAUGAUAAAGUAAUUUUGUUUGGAUUGAUUGAUUUUGAGGAUUUGGUGGGAUGAAGUUGGAAGGGAAGGGUUUAGGCAUGAGAUUGAGAUUGGUGCUUAUAAGUGUUCGUAAGAUGUUUGUUUGAAGAGUUUUGCUAGAUUUAGACUUUUCUGAAAUUCUAUUUAGUAGGAUGAGCGGCAUGACCGAUUCAAAUUUUUAUUUAUAUGAGUUUUAACUUGAGCAUUGUAAGAAGUUUGAUUCUUGAGUUAUAGUGUGGUUAGCUGAACUUUUAGGAGAUUUAUGUUGAGUAUUUUAUAAAUUCAUACGAAAAAGGGUGUUUAUCAUUCGAUCUUGAGAAUACAUUUUAAGAUAUUUGAGAAAUGAGCAAAAUAAGUAUGAUAAAUUUAAUUGUAGGUGUUUGGGAAUUUUACACCCAAGGUGUUUGACACAAGGUAUAAGAAAAAUUAUAUCUCAUUUAAAUAGAAGUUAUGAUUGGUAUGAUAUGAGGUAACUUGGUGGUAAGUGAUGAUGUUUGGAGACCAUUAAGAUAUAAAUUUUGGUUCUUUUUGAAAUUUUGAAUACUUCUAAGUGGUUGGGAUUGUGUUGGUAAUGGAAUAAAGUUUAUAUAACUAUAGGAAGCAAACUGAGGUUUCAUUUAUUUAUAUAGGGUAUGUGGAACAUGAGUCUCUUGAUAAGAAUUGAGGAAGGAAAUCAUUGGGUUUGGAAUUUAACAAGUAAGUGAAUAGUAUCCUAGUCAACUUGUCAAUAAAAGUCUUUCAUUGAAAUUAUUACAUUUUUUUAUGCAUAUUAUUUUUAUUAACAAUUAUGAUGAAUAUUAGUUAUCUUGUUAAUUAAAUUAUGAUUUGUGUUAGUACUUUUCUUAAGAGAUAUACUUAAAAGAUUGAUGAAAAUGAUUUUUACAAAUUUUAAUGUUCCUUUAUUCAAUAAAGAUAAUCAUGAAAAUUGGUGAAAAAGUUUGAGAUGUUAGUUAUGAAUUUUUACGCUGAAAAGAUUGAUUAUUUUGAAUUGAUUCAUGCGAGUUUGGUACUGAAAAGAGGAUUUUAUAUUUUGAAAAGUGAUUAUUUUCUCGCAUGUUUGAAAAUGAAUUUGAAGGGGACUUUAUACAGAACACUGGUUGCUAGCGGCAGCUCCGUUAGCCCUUGGCACGCCUUGGUUAAUGACUAGCUAGUUUGGUUUUCGUGAGCUAUAUUCUCACGUUUGUUAUUCGCGAGCCUCGCACUCGCGUUUGUUUCGUGGCCUUGAGCCGCGUUUGGUUACGUAUCCUCAUGGACUGGUGUGUCCACGUUUGUUUUCGUGGCAUAAGCUGCGUUUGGUUAUUUUACCCUCGUGGACUGUGUAUCCACGUUUGAUACUUGUUCUGCAAAAGUCCUUAAAAAUGUUAGCUUUUAAUUGAUUUAUGAAUAAAUGCUUCAUUGGUUUUAUUUAAUAAAGGGUUCUUUUAUUUAUUUAUUUAUUUAAUUUUCUUUACCAGCACAAAGAGUUGAACUAUUUUGUUAUUAUUAAUUUGGUGAUUUAGUACUUUGAAGUUAUAUAGAACUUCUUAAUCUUCAAAUUCAUGAUUAUAUUAUAUUGAUUGUUUUUAGCUAGUAUAAUUGAAUUUUAAUGUUUGCAGUAAGUUUGCUAUUUUUACUCAAUUAUGAGUAAAUUAUCCUCCUUUAACAUAUCAGAUUUGAGAAAUUUUUACGCAUUCAUGUUUUAUUAUUAUAAUUGAUAUUUCUAGAUAUUGUGAGUUAUUAAUCUGAAUUAAUUUCCUUUCAAUGAUUUUACAUAAUAGUAAGUUUAUUAUUUUACUAAUUUUACUCUGUUAAAUUUUAUUUUUGGGGAUGCUGUUCACUGGAAAUUAUUUUGGUCUCAGAUUUAUUAAUUGACGCUGGAUCUCUUGCCGACCUUUAAGGGCCUGCAACUAUGCUAGAUAAAUAUUUAUUUUUGUAAAUCCCUUCUCUUUUAAGGUAAAUAUUCAAUUAGAUGUUAUAUAAAAAAAAAUUUUGUGCUUUAGGAGCUCUACGUUAACUAUAGUUAGGAUCUUGAUUUUUGUUCUAUUAUGUUGACUGUUUAUAUCUGGGAAAUAUAGUUUCAACCUAUUGAACGCAUACUAUAAUAAUUUCUGUUAUAGAGAUUUCGAAAAAUUUUAUUUAUAAAGAAGGUUCUGCCGAAAUUUUUAUAAAUAUUAAAACAAUCAUUGUUAAAGAUAUCAUAAUUUCAAUAAAAAUAUAAUUAUGUUUUUGAAAAGUGAAAUUUUACUUAGAGGCUUAAGGGAUGUAUAAUACAAUUCACAUUUUAUGUCGGUCACUCUCUGUUUUAGGGGUUUGACAAUUGGCCACGACAAAUGACCCAUAAUUUUGUAAAAUGAAGUUUCUGACUUUUUUUUGAAAUAUUUUUUAUACGAUUAGUAUCACAUACUUUUUUAUAUUUUAUAAAUCUAAUUUUAUCUUAUUUUGAAUAAUAUAUAUUAUUUAACGGUGAGAAUUUAGGAUUUUAUUUGAAAAUAAGUUUAAAUAUAAGAUAAUUUUAAUUAAUCAGUUAAUUUGAGGUUUAAAUUUGUUAAUAAAAUUAUUAACUUUCAUAUUCAUUGUUUGUAAAUUUGUUGAUGAAAAAAUGACCCUUAACCCUAAUGCCCAUAAAUUUUAUAUUAAAUAAGAUUUUAAAAAUGUUCUAUAUUGUGACAUGAAGAGAAUAUUUUUUAGUAUGGUUCCACAUUUAUCACUCAUUUUUUUAUUGUAUGUCCCAUACCUACCUUAUUAUAAAACCUUUAUAAUUUUUUAUUUAUUAUAAAAUUUUUAUAAUUUUUUAUUUUUAUUUACUAUACAAUAAUUUAAAAAUUACUAUAAAAAAUAUCAAAGCAUUCCACAUUAUUGUUAAUGGUUUGAUGGUUGGCGGAAAAGAAUGGAAGAUAUAUAAAGAAGAAAGAGCCAAUAAAAUAGAUAUUGCUUUUAAAGAUGUCAACAAAUUCAGUUUGAUUUGAUUUAAAAACAACAAAAAACAAAACCAAAUCAAUCUUAUCAACUCACCAAAGUUAGAAACAUAUUCUAAGUUUUUUCUAAUCAAUUUAAUUCGAUUUAAUUGACAUUUGAAUCAAGUUUAAAUUUUUGUAAGAUAUUUUUAAUUAAUCAAUAUAUAUAUUGACUGAUAAUUUUUGACUAUUAAUUAUUAUUUUUACAAAAAAAUCAAUUAGGAUUAAAGAAUUAAUAUUUUGAACAAUUAAUUAGCAUAUUUAAGCAUUCAAUUAUAUCAAUACCUUUAGCUGAAACAAUUUUAAUAGUUCAUUAUAACAGAUUUUUCUUAUCAGUAAUUUAUAAAUAACUAAAUUUAAAAAAAACUUAAAUAAAUUUAAAAAUAUUUAUAUAAUAAAUAUAAUAAUUUUUUUGAUUUAUUUUAAAUUUUAAGAGAGAAAAACUUGAAUCAAACCAAUUUAAUUAAUUUUAUAAAAAAAAUAAACCAAAUUUUAUUUAUAAUCUAUUUAUGUUUGGCUUGGUUGGACGUGAUUUAGUGCAAUUAAUUUGGAUCGGAUUUUAAAAACCCUUUAUAUUGUGUUGUAUGCUUUCUCUUCUUUUAAUGGCUUUCUUUCUCUCUGUGUCAGUGUCUGGUUUAAGCUGAGGGGUCCUCUUCCUACUGCUCUCUCUCUCUCUCUCUCUCUCCCCCCCCCUCCCUCCCAUUUUCAUAGAAGGAAUUUAAGGGGUUUUUCUUCAGCCAAAUUCUAAUCAAUUAUUUAAAUAAAAUUUAAAUUAUAUAAUUAUUAUUUUAACAUUAUUAACUCCAUUAUAAAUUAAAUAAUCAAUUGAAAUUUUAAAAACUCAAAUUAUAUCAAAUCUUAAAUUUUUUAUCAUCAAGAAAUUAAAAACUAAAGAAAAUAUGUGAUUAAGAAAAAUAUUUAACAUUUAUAUAGUCUGAAAAUGUUUGAGAUCAUACUCAAGGUAUCUAUUAUGGAAUCCCAUUUUUAAAAUUUUGCUUACUCUCUGUCUUAAUUUCUCACCGUGCACUGAGUGAGAGGAAGACAAAAAGAAAGAAAGAGGAAGUGAUGCAUGCAAAAUAAGAAAUGAGAUUGAAAAUAAUAAAAUAAGUUAGUUGGCUUCACAUUUCGAUAUCCAUUCUCUCUUUCUUCUUUGUUUUUUUUUUAAAUCUUCUUCCUUUUCUUUUCAAAAAUUAAUAAUCUGUAAACUCUACCCCCACACACAUAUUAUGUGAUUUUUAUAGUACUUUCUUAACAUCUUAAAAAUUAAACUCUACUAGUGUAUUUUAAUAAACACAAUUUCUUUGAUAUUUAUAUGAUUAUAAAUUUUUUAUUUAGAUUUGAAGAGUAAAAAUAGAGAUGUUAUAAUAACUUUGUGUCAUUCAUAAUAUCCUGAUUGAUAAUUUUAGAGAUCCAUGGUAAUUUAGUAUCAUUCAUGGUAUAACUUAAAAUACGUUAGUAAUUUUAUUAUUACUUAUGAUGACUUUGUAUCACUCAGAACAUCUCAUUUAAUGAUUUUAGAGUUUUAUGGUGAUUUGUUUGAUUAAUCCAAGCGUCUAAUGUUGUAUUAGACAUUAACAUUUUAAUUUCAAUUGAUUAGGAACUUUAAUUGAUUAUUUAGCCUUUAAUGGAGUUAAUGAUAUUGGAAUAAUAAUUGUAUAAUUUAAAUUUUGCCUAUAAUUGAUUUGAACUUGGCUGAAAAGAGAAGAGAAGAGAUAUGUAUUUAAUUUUUUUUAAAUUAAAUAGAAUUUGGCUUGAUAUAUCUAACAAAAAAACAUUGGUUGAAGAGAGAGAUGAUGGGACAGAUGUUUUUUUAUAUUAAAUAGAACUUAGCUUGAUAGAAGCAAAGUUUUAUGUACGUUUUGACAAAAAAAAAUUUGAAACUCGAUGCUAAUCAAGCUAACUUUUAAAUUUAUAGUAUCUAAAUAAAUACUAUUAAAGUGUCGUAUCGUGGGAAAUAAUUUUUUUUUUAUAGUAUGAAAGUCAAUUUGCCUCAGACGAAAAAACUAGAGAGGAGAUAAGAUGAUGAGAACACUAAUUGCAAGCUGGUGCCGCCCCCACCCAAGCUAUAGUAACCCAUCAACAAUAUGCAGUCAGUGAAAGAACAACGAGACAAAUAUAAAAAGAACAGACAGUCAGUGAAAGAACAACGAGACAAAUAUAAAAAGAACAGACAAUUCUUCAUCAAUAAUUCCAGAAUGCUCAAUCAAUCACACCCAGACUCAUCACAGUAAUUCAUCAAUAAUCUUGAUAUAGAUCUCUCUCAUAUUAAUUAUCAUAUGAGACAGAUUAAUGGUGAUAAAGAUUUACUUUUCUUUAUUUUUUCUUUUUUAAGUCAAAUACUGCAAAUAAAAAAUUAGUGUCUGUACAUUAUACUUUUAUUACUUAAUUUCAACUCUAUAUAAUUUUUUUGUGUAGUGAAUAUAUAUAUAUAUAUAUAUAUACACGUAUAAUAUUUUUUUAUAUUAUAUAUUACAAAAAAACUAAAUAUAGAAAGGAAAAAACUUUGAUGGAGGGUUACAAUUCAAAAACACCGUUGAUAAACAGUGAAUCCCAUUAAGCUUUACUUGUAUAAAGAUAAAUAUUUAGAUGUCAUUGAAUCCAUUAAGCUUUGCUUGUAUAAAGAUAAAGAUUUGGAUGUCAUUGCUAUGAUUUCAAUGUGAUGCUAUAGAGAAAUAAAGAAUAAUUAAGGAUGAAAAGUGAAGUGCAGCACAACAAAGAUAAAAACAAAAGGAAAGGAAAAUAAUUGAAGAUAGAGGAGAAGGCAAGAGUUUUAUAAUCUUUUAUUUUUCUAAUGUUCCCUAUUAAAUUCACGAAAAUAUAUAAUUUUUUUUGAUUAAAUUCACGAAAAUAUAUAAUUUUUUUUGAAUUUUAAAACAAUUUCACAAAACUUCUUUUACAUUUAAAAAUUUAAAAUUAACUUUCUUAAUUUUUUAUUUUAUUUUUUUAUCAUAGACUUCCCUACUAAUAUUUUUUAGUUAUCUUAUUAGCAAGAGUUAUCAUACUACAUUGAGAAAAUACAUAUAAUAUAGGGAAAAUCAUUCUCAAGUCCCAUGGAAGUCAAAAUACGCUGAAGUUUUAUAAAUUCAUCAAAUAGCUGUCAGAUCUCAAGAGACUUAAGAGUGAAUAAGUCUGAAAAUAAAAUUAUUGAUUUGUCCUCUACCAUUAAAAAGGAAAUUUUGCUGGAACACAAAUAUCACAACACCCAUGAUUAGCAAUACUGAAGAUUGAUGCAUAUCCAUGAUUGUUGAUCACGAUAGGGUAAUUUUCACUUCCUCAUAUCUAUGAUUACUGCCCUUGUCUUUAUCUAAGUGAGGUGCGAGUGUUCAUCUGCGACUGUAGUAUUUCAUCGACAGAAAAUAAUACAGUGAUUGUUGAGUGAGUAAACGAUUUUUCACGCGUUAAUGAUUUCAUUGUUAUUUAAAGAUAGAAUAAUGCUUUCUAGGUAUGCCUGCGAUCAUUUGAUUUGUAUAGUUAAUUGGUAUAGAUUUAUCUAUUGCGACAUUGAUACGUUGAAAAAUAUCUUAUACGAACAACUCUACAUAUUGUUAAUAGUGUAUUCUUGUAUUAUCAAUAUGCUAUCGAUAGUUGUUGAUACAUUGUAUUGUGCAAGAUAACUUGUAAGAAUGCUUAUACCACCGAAAAAUAUGUAUUAUGUUUUUUUUUUCAUAUAAGGGACAUUUUAUAUAUUAUUCUCAAGCAUGUAAUGUAAGCUUCUUUUGUUAAAAAAUCUCUAUUAUGAAACAACACUAUAUCUUGUCAAUAGUGGAUGAAUGUGUUGACAUUAUACUGUGUGUAGUUGUCAAUAUAUUGUGUGUAGUAUAGGUUAACUUGUAAGAUGGCAAGUUCUUCUAGAGAACAUAUAUUAUAAUAGUGGAUGAAUGUGUUGACAUUAUACUGUGUGUAGUUGUCAAUAUAUUGUGUGUAGUAUAGGUUAACUUGUAAGAUGGCAAGUUCUUCUAGAGAACAUAUAUUAUAUUUUUUUUCAUGUAGAGGGCAUUUUCAAAAUUAUGACCAAGGAAGUAUGCAAUAUGUUAGGGAGAGUGUUGGAACAAAAACAAUAAAGGAAUGGACAACAUAUGAAGAGUUGACAAGAAUAAUAUCAUCAAAUGAGUAGCACAUACAUGCUUUUGUUUAGCAUGACAAAUGAGUAGAAUACCUUGUGUACAUGCAUGUGUAGCAAUCAAGCUAAUUUAUGACAAUGUCUACAAUUUUGUGGAUGAAUGUUAUAAGUUUACUGCUCAAAAGAAGAUAUAUGCCAACAACAUGAGGCCGGUAGCCACACAUGACCAUCCAUGUCCAUAAGCAUUGACAGUGACAAAUUUAUUAACCCAAACCUACUUGAAGCUACCAAUGAUUAUAAAGCCUUCGGGCAGGCCAAAGCGUAAAAGAAGGGAAUCUCAAAUCCAAAAUAAAAGGGUUUAUCGUUGUGCAAGAUACCAUAAGAUUGGUCAUACCUCCAAGACUUGCAAAAAUCCUAAUCCAUGUUAGAAAAUAUCAAGUGUACUUUUUUGUUUAUGUAUUUGGAAUUUAUUUUUUUGUUUAUUGCACCUAAUGUAUCAGCACUUGUCAAUGAAAAAUGCAUAGAUUGUCAAUGAAGUGAUAACUUGUAGUUAA